rnacentral:lncRNA from 1 species
AUCUUCUGUUUCCAAAGCUUUAAAAUUGAACCUUUGGAAGUUAUUCAUCGAUAUCAAUAUGAAAUACAAAAUUAUGCUGACAAAAUACUCUUCUUGUCAAUAUAAAAUUUAUUUCUUCUUGUUAAUAAAAUGCUCCUUAUUUUGGUACAUAAAUACAAAUUUGUACCUACUGACAUUGAGACUUUUGCAUUUGAAAUAUUUUGCUACCAUACCUGCAAGAAAAAAUAUAUCAAUACUAAAAUAUUGUUUACUCUAAAUUUUAAAAUAAGAUCAAUAUGAACUUUUACUAUCACGAUAAUCUUUUAGUGUUAAAAUGAGGUGGUGGGCCAAAAACGCACCAAAAGAUUUCAUUCACAGCUACAGUGAUAAAGAAUAGACUUAAAUUAUAUCACUGCAAUCUUUUAGUGAUAAAGAAUAGACAAUAAUGAACAAAAUCUUAUCAAGGACUUAACAUUUUAGUGGUAAAAUUAUAUCUUACUUUGUUGCAGUCUUCCAACUAAUCGUUACAUAAUUCAGUCAAGAUAUAUUGAACAUAGUUGCUGGAAAUAAUUUUUAGCAGACAAUAAAAUAAAUGGAUUACUUAGUUUUAGUAUGCAUAACUGGUCUACUUUGGGGGAGAAAAUUCACUGUAAGUUUAUUUUCUAAUUUUGUGUUCUAAGAGGGAUUUAUUUUUGUUGACAGAGGAAUCCUGAAACAACAAAAACUAUUGUACCAGUAGAUAGAGGUGGAGUUAAUUUUGUUAUGGGGACUACGAUAGUGCCAACUACUCCUGUUUCUUACCAAUAUCAUAAAGCAAAUGAUGAGAAAAAUUUCACAAUGAUACAUAAUGUGUAUAAUAUCGACAAGAACUUUGCUUUUAAGAUUGGCAUGAAAUUUGAUUCCGUAGAAGAAUCAUACAAUGCAUACAAUUCCUACGCCAUGGGGUUCGAUGUUCGAAAAGGACCAAAAACUUUUAAUAGAAAGAAAGAAAUGACUAGAUGUUUAUUUCUUUGUUCUUGUGAAAGAAAAUAUGAUAAGCUUUCCCCUUUUCAUGAAAGAAAGCAACAAAGGUUGGAAUAUAGAUAUGUUUGUUUGGCUCAUAUAAAAUUCAAAAUUUCAAAUGGGACAUGGAAAGUAUGUGAAUUUAAUGAUGUGUAUAGCUAUCUCAUGAUAGAAAAGAACUUGAGACAUUUCAUACAAUCUAGUCGAAAUCUUACAAGUGCUACAAAAAAUAUUUUUGGUUUAUGGUUGAUGCUGGUAUUCGUGCAAAAAGAGUUGUUCGAUACCUUCGGAAUGAAGUAGGUGGAAUUGAAAAUGGAGGAUGUACUGAACAAGAUGCUCAUAACUUCAUACAAGCGCAUAAGAGAAACAUGAUUAGUAGUGGAGAUGCUCAAACUUUGGUAAAUCAUUUUAUGCAUUUGCAAUCAGAGGAUUCAAACUUCUUUUAUUUUUUUCAAGUUGAUGAAGAUGGAAAAUUGUGCAACUUCUUUUAGAGAGAUAUCAUAUGUAUUGCACUAUGAGUGUUUUGGGGAUGUGAUGAUUUUUGAUACUGCAUAUUGUACAAAUAGAAAUGGCACAAUUUGUACUACAUUUGUUGGUGUAAAUAAUCAUUGGAAAAAUAUUUUCUUUGGAUGUGCAUUAUUGUGAGAUGAAUAAGCUACAACAUGCAUUGUAUAUAGACGUUCGUGAUAAAGAACGGCAUACUUUUAUUUAAACUAUUGAUCCUUUGCUAGGUGGUAUGGAUCAGAUUCUGGAUCCAAUCAAGAAAAAAGAAAGGAAAAGGGAUAUGGUAGAUUAAAGCCAAUUAUUAAGCAAAGAAGGAGAAGGACAUCUCAAAAAGUAUCAAAAGCUAAAGCAUGACUACCACACACGUCCACAGGAUUACGUUUUGAGGUUUAAUCUCUAUACAUGUCAAGUUACAUAUUUUUUAUUUGGUUUUUGCAUCUUUCUUUCAUCUAAUAAUUUUAAUAUGUAUUUUUCUUCCAAUUUCAAAUAUGCAGCUAUAUGGAGAUUCAAAUAGUACUUUCACCCAAUUGUUGACUCAAGAAUCAAGCUUGCAGACAACAUGUUGCAGCCAAAACCAAGCGCAAACAACAAUUAAUGUUGACAUCAAUUGAAGCAUAAUAGGACCCUCUAUUUGGUGUGAAUAUAUUUGAAUAUGCUUUUGUACUCUUCCUAGGGGUGUUCUUAAACAAUUUACUAUAUAAUAUUACACUAAUAUGACAAGUGAAUUUUGUGUUUUGGCACUACUAAUUUCAAGUGUAGAAGAUGCUUCAACAUCUAGAAUCUGUAUCUGUGAGACAUCUGAAAUAUGAUUUAUUUUUGUGAGCAAUAUACAAAGAAUCCAUAAGAGAUUGAGAACGAAUUUACCUUAAAUCCAUGAAUAAACGGACGUAGCAGAAGAUCUUUAGAAUUGAGCUAAACUUUGACAGAAUCGGAUUAGAUCUGUACAAGCUAGAACUUUGCAUUGAAGUUAAUCGCAAUCUAUAAUUGAUUUCAGAUUUACUAGUUGCAUUCAAAGAAAUCACACAUCUAAAUUUGGCUAAGCAAAAGAAUAUAAACUAUGAAAGUGUUACAUUGUAGAGAUGAAUACGACAAGAAUUGAUUUAAGUAGAAGAAAUCAGAUUGAAUAAUACCUUAGCACACUAGAAGAAAUGGUGUUUGGAGAAAUUUUUUGUUCUGGAUAAUGUUUCUGG